GCAUUCUUCUCUCCUUCGAAUCUCAUCGGUGUGGCCGAGCACUCCCCUUCUACUAAUUUGACCGAAAGCUUAAAAAAAAAAAAAAACACCUCCCCUGCGUCUGUGGCCAAGCACCACAUUCUCGGCACAAGGACCUACUUCAAAAAUCAACAAUCUGAACCACAAGUCCCUCAUCUAUCGUCUAGGGCCAAGCACUCCUCUUCCACUCAUCCCCUCUCCCUUUCAUCCCCUUCCAUUGAUCGAAAGCUGCCAUUUGUUUAUACUGUUGCAUUUUGUUUCCAAGGUAAGAAUCUCAACAUUUCUAUGCAGUUUUUCUCAUACGUAUUCUAUAUAUCCUUUUGCUGUUUUUAGAUCUUCUUUUUGUUUUUGUUGGUUGUGUGUUUUUGUUGUUCUGAAGAUGUGUUUUUAGUUGCUAAUUUUCCUGUUCUUUAUAUUUGUGUUUGGUUGCUGAUUUUCGUGGGUCUUGGUUGUUGAUUUUCGUAAAUUUUGGUUGUUGUUUUCGUAGAUUUCAUAGGUUGGGUUGGGAACGGCCAAAGCCUUACUUAUUUAUGCUCAGGAUAUUUGUUUAGAGAUGAGCUUAUGCCACAAUUUAGAAAAAGGAAGAAUCAUAUUGGAGUUUUUUGAAAAAGUUUACAUCUCAUAAGUGGACUCUUUUCAAGUUUCGCCACCCUAAUUCUUUAAUUAGGAUCAUUUUGCAGCAAAGUUCAAAGAGAAAUAAGUGCAAAUUAAGAGGAAAAAGGCUGCAAUGGGAUUUUACACUGGAUACUUCUAAAGAAAAAAAAAACUUAUCUAGAAAAUAAGAUAACAAAACCACAUGACAUGAAAAUUGAAAACAAAACAAAGAGAAAUACUGUACACAAAUUAUUACUGAAAAUUCUCACAAACUUUCCUGUUUUGAAAAUGAUAAUUUGGACAUGCUUCUUUACAAUUUUUUGGCAAGUAAGAAAUGCUUUCCUAAUAUUGUUUGCUUUAUAUUCAAUAAAUUUAUAAAGUUAUGAUGUCUGGUCAUGGUUCAUGUUUCAUGGUUUUCUACUCCAAUAAAAAAAGGGUGGUUGGUGAGGUUAUGAGUUUAAUCCCUUGUGGACAUGCGAGUUGUAUUUACCUUCCUAAAAACAUGUUAUAGUUUUCCAACCUAUUAUAUUCUAUUUAGGAUUAUUAGGACUUUCCUUACUCUAAUAACUUUAAAUGUACCUGUGAACCCUUUGCUUGAGUCUUAGAUCACUCAUCUAUGUGCUCAGGUAAAUUGCUUAGACUUCAAAAAGACUAGGUACCAAGAUAGAUGUCUCUUGUGUACCUUACUUCCGUGCCUCUCAAUAAAAGUCCAGCUAGCUGAGUGCUAAUAUACAUAUAAUUUUUCUGCAGUAUUUUCACGAGGUCACUGCGCAGAGGAAUAUAGAGGGCAUUCAAAAGAAUUCAUACAAUGAUAUUUGUAGUGAUAUUUAUCAUUCCACAAGUGCAAUGUGGGAUAUUUGCACAUAUUAAUGGACAUUUGUUGUGUCGUUUUAGUGGAGAUUGCUUUAAAUGCUUUUGAGAUAGCCUCAUAAAUGCACUGUUCCAUUUAUACUCUUUUUCGAUGGCGUCUUUACACUUUCAGUCACAGCCCCCAACCAUAUGCAUAUACAUCACCCAUCUCUCCCAUUUUCUUUU